AUUGGAUUCGACCGGACGGGUGAGGCGCCGGUGGCGUGCCGAGGUUCCAAGGUGGCCUCGUUAAACCCCUUGGGCUAUUUUUACGUGCCAACAAUGGCUACGCAAUGGCUGCCUAAUUAACUAGGCAACCCGUCUCGGUGGGCCUGGGCCCGUGGGCCUGCCGCGACGACAAUCAACGGGCUCGCCGAGGGACAGUGGGGCGGUUACCCCUCGGGACUUCCGUCGCCCUGGCCUGGACGAACCGUGUCCCAUGCGGGUCGGACGGGCGAGACGCAAAACAGGGACUACGCACGUAGAAGCCGUCGCUGAAACGUCACGGGACGCGGGUUCGAU
rnacentral:tmRNA from 1 species